rnacentral:rRNA from 1 species
UGUAAGCGUAUACCAAAGUUGUUGCAGUUAAAACGCUCGUAGUCGGAAUUUGGCAGUUCCGGAUGUGUGCACGUCGUGUGCGCACUUCGCGGGGAUUGCUUUUGUGGUCUUGCGUAGGAUGAGGCACUUUUAUUAGUGAACGUCCUCACGCAACCACUUUUUACUGUGAGAGAAUCAGAGUGCUCAAAGCAGGCAUUUGCCGUGAAUGUAUUAGCAUGGAAUAAUAGAAUAGGACUUGGUUCUAUUUUGUUGGUUUGUUGGGACUGAGUAAUGAUUAAGUGGGACAGUUGGGGGCAUUUGUAUUUCGGUGCUAGAGGUGAAAUUCUUAGAUUACCGAAAGACAAACUGCUGCGAAAGCGUCUGCCAAGGAUGUUUUCAUUGA